rnacentral:rRNA from 1 species
CUCCAGACUCCUACGGGAGGCAGCAGUGGGGGAUAUUGCACAAUGGGGGAAACCCUGAUGCAGCGACGCCGCGUGAGUGAAGAAGUAUUUCGGUAUGUAAAGCUCUAUCAGCAGGGAAGAAAAUGACAGUACCUGAGUAAGAAGCCCCGGCUAACUACGUGCCAGCAGCCGCGGUAAUACGUAGGGGGCAAGCGUUAUCCGGAUUCACUGGGUGUAAAGGGAGCGUAGACGGCGACGCAAGUCUGGAGUGAAAGCCCGGGGCCCAACCCCGGGACUGCUCUGGAAACUGCGGCGCUGGAGUACGGGAGGGGCAGGCGGAAUUCCUGGUGUAGCGGUGAAAUGCGUAGAUAUCAGGAGGAACACCAGUGGCGAAGGCGGCCUGCUGGACGACAACUGACGGUGAGGCGCGAAAGCGUGGGGAGCAAACAGGAUUAGAUACCCUCGUAAC